ACAUCAGUGGACAAUGGCGAAGAUGGGUCAAGAGGCUAGAAGAUUGACAACACUGUUUUGACAUUUACGACAGAAUUCACCAAAGCAGAAGACUCUAAUUGUCAACAUCCACCAGAGACAUCCUGAAACAACAACAUAGUCAAAUAGCGGGAACUUUCCCUUUCCGGAAUUACCUUUGCGUACAUUUUUCUGCUUCCAGAAUAGCAGAAGGGGAAAGAAGGAUAUAUGGUGUGAUGCCAAACACUCCUGGAAAUGGCUGCUGAAGGGCAAAAGGAAUAAAGAUUUUAAAUGGUGAUUACAUAUCUUUUUGGAAACUAUGCUUUUUAACCUGGCUGUUACAUGGCUGCUUCAGAAGCCUUUCAAGUGAUCUUCUCAUCACAGCCAUAAGGGGGUAGCUUGUCAAAAUAAUGAUGGACUUGGGAGCCCUAUCACACAGACCAGUUUUUAAAGGAUUCUAUCGUGCAGGUUAUGCUCUUUAUAAAAAGAAAAACCGGUUAUAGAAUUGAAACCGGAGGGUUCCUUCUCCAUGAACUGACAAUCUAGACAACUGACAACCUGGAGCUUCACAUUAACUUAAUGAAAAUAUGAAGUAAGUAAAAUGCUAAGGGGAUCAGUUCUACCUUCUGCUUUGCCUGCCAUUGCCAAUACAAAUCAAUGGCUUUUGCUAUAUUGCUCCCUAGUCUAUCGAAAUACUAUA